GGGGAGAAAACAUGAUGCAGAGGGCUCAAGGGUUGAGAUAAGGAUGGGGAGAUCACUCAACAAUUAUUGUGACAGGCAAAACAGAUUCAGAGUAGGGAGACAGUAAAAUUUAUGACCUCUUACUAACAAACUAGAGAAGUGAGAAACAAAGGAAAGAAACAGAAAAUGCCUUCCCCCCCAUCCACCCUCUUCCCCCUGAGCAGCGCAGAGGAAUGGGGGCUAUGGUCAGUCCCUUGAUACUUCAUCUCCGCUGCUCCUUCAUGGUCACUCUCUGACCCUGCUCCAUGUGGGCUCUCUCCCAUGGGAUGCCGUCCUUCCUGAACUGAUCCUGCAGGAGCUGCCCACAGGCAGCAUCUCUUCAAGAAUGCUCCCACAUGGAGCCCUUUUCCAUCAUAUUUUUCCCCUUUACUUUGCCAGAGGAGUUGUGGUGGAGUUCAGCUAUGUAUCAAGUGAAACCUCCACCCUCAUUCAACUGCAUUGUUACACAGGAACUGUUAAAUUAUCUUCCUCUCCCUUCAGAUUUAAGUCACUGAAUGUUGUUUCAUGUAAAUGUAAAUUCUUUAUAGGCAGCUCAUUUUUGAAAUGAAGCAAAAAAGCGUUGUAAAUAUAGAUCCUUUCUCUGUUUUCUGCUCAGUAAAAGUAGGAAACUGAGAAAAACCUGUCUUUUGAGUGCAAACUGUGUUGUUGCUUCAUAGAGGUAUUUUUUGUGUUAGGAUCUAUUAGACACAUUUUCUAAUGUUGUGACCGUUUAUCCGAGUGAUUCAGAUUGUAUCAGUAACCAGCUCCCUCAUUACUCACUGUUCCAUGAAUCUUUGUCAACUAAAACACUUAACCACUAAAGAUUUUCUGUUCUCAUUCAUCAGAAAUAUCCCCGGAUCAUCAAUUAAAAAUAUUGAUGAGAAUUAGACCAAAAAUGAUCUUUUAGGAACCUCACUACUUAGUUGCCUAAUUAAUUAAUAUUUUCUCAGUCACUUUAUUUUCAGAUGUGCAGGUAGUUUUGAAUAUUUAUAGUCUGUGUUGAUGCUUCUGCGUACCGCCAUUUUUAAAACAGUAAGAUUAUCGAAUCAAGAUGUCAUAGUAGCAAGUCAGAUUUAUUUACUUAUUUUAAAAUCCAAGUAGUUCAUCAAAAGAAAUGUUUUCAACACCCAAACUCAUAUACUGUCAAAAAAUGCCAGUGGUUCAUUUUACAAGACCUGGCUACUAUGGAACUUGUUGACAAAAGUUGUUUUAAUUUUUAGCAUCUAUUUCUUAGUUGAUGGUCUCUAUUGUUGAAUGAUCUAUUUAGAUAUUUUAGGAGCUGCAUCAAGGAAGUUAGACUCUAAGUCCUUAUCAAUGACACUGUUUUUUUCUUUUUUCUUUUUUUUUCCUUUUAUAUAAAAUGUAUACAAUCUUAACUGUGGAUCCAAAUUUACAUUUCUGUAAUUGGGUAGAAAUAAUCAAGUUUUUCAAAAGAUGUAUUAAUAAUUUCCAAAUUAUUUGAGAAAGUCACAUCUACAACAUUAUCUAUUGUGGGACACCUAGUAAUUUACAGGUGACUUGUUAUUAUUAUCACUAAUACGUCUCUAAUUUUUGUAUUCCCAAUAUAUACCUAGUGUAAUAACUGCUUAAUUUUUUCAGAAACUGGCUCAUUGAAAUGUUCUUAUCACAUUCUUUAUUGUGCCAUAUAUUGGUCAAACAACAUAAAUGCAAUGUAAUACCUGUUUUUCAAGUCAGACUGUACAUUUAAAAGACAGUGAUUAAAUCUUCUUUGGUCUGCGAGGCUCAGUAUUGAGUUACCUCUGUUGGAUGCUGAGCAUGCUCACUAAGGAAAUUAUUGUGCACUAUUUUUGAAAGCUAUAAAUUUUGAAUGUUUUCCAGAUUGUUAGGUAUACGAAUGCAUUUUUUGACCCUCUUGCACAUCGUUGACAGCUAUUAAAGGAAAUUUUUGCCUGUUUUCUAGUGAUACUUGCUAUUUGGAAGAAGUGGAGUGGAUGUCCUCCAGUAUCCCAUCUUUGAUUUUGUGAGUCAGACUUCUCAUAUUCUAAAUUAUCUGCUGAAAAGUUAAUGUAGACACAGUACCAUGUCACUGAUAAGCUUCAAUUUGAUUGAGCUUCAAAAGAUUCAAUUAUGAUCCAUUCCACUGGAUUUCAGUAGUAUUUCCCAUACUUUAUUUAUUUUUUCUCUAUAUGCGAAAUACUUCAAUUCCUCUGACCUGUUACCUAGGUAGAUAGUAUUUGUGGAUGGGCAUUUAAUUUUUUUUCUUUUUUUUAAGGUAUGUUCCUUCAUAGAUUCGGUAUGUUUGGUUUUAUGUUGUUUUGAGACUAGCUUACAGCAAAAACAGCAAAGUCUUUAUGCCAUAAUUAUUCUACUGAAUGAACAACCUUCUGGUUAACUGACCACGUUUAUUCCCUCGGAGAGUGAGGUAUUACAAAGACAGAGGGCAACUGAAGCAAAACCUACCUCUUGGUACCCUACCAACGUUUUAGCUCAACCACAGAUUGCCUUACAGAUUUUGCAAAUUCCUUCUUUUUGAGGGAAAAGGGGCAUCAUAUAUGACAUGACUUUUCAGAUAUUAAUUUCCUUAAAUAACCCUAAGUUCUUCCAGGAUCAGUGGAAUGCAGGUUGAUAAGACAUCAGAGGUGCCAACAGAGGCUCAUUGCCAGAGGAAUUGCUCUUUCUCACCUUUACACUUUCAUUUCUGGAAGGCAGAAAACUCUCCUGCUUGUUCAUUAGCACAGUGAACAUUACCUCCACAAGAAUGCUUUCAUAACCUUGUUGUGUGUCUGUGCAUUUUGAACUGGCCAGUAGAUGAGUUCUUUCCUCCAGCUGCUUGUUGCUUCUCUUCAGAUGCCUCAUUCAGCACAUUAUUGCUUAGGUCCAUCUGUGAAGACAUCCUUUCAGUCCUCCUCCUUGGUGUAUUAAUGACAACUUGCAAAUUGACAUUGCAAUUGGGUACAUUAAUGAAAUAAAUAACUUUAAGAUGCAUCUUCAGUCUUUUGCAAACUACAAGUGCUGUACACUGUCACCAACAAUAUGAUCAUUAGUACGCCUUGACCUAUUUCAAAAUUGUGGAAGUAAGAAAUACGUUCAUUAUUUUUCCAAACACAUUUCUCACAAAUGAAUGAUUUGUCUGGAGAAAUAAAAUUGCACUUAUUUCUGCAUGAUUUCCAGAAUUACGCUGUGAACAUAUAAUUUUGUAAGAUAGACAAGAAGUAAAAACUUUACAAGAAACAAAUCAUCCAUCAGAUAUCAAUUAUACUGUGUUUUAUUACCUAGAUAAUAGCAAGUCUAAGGUUUCCUGGGAAUUUAAAACAAACUAUUAUGUAAUUUCAAUAGGGGCUCCCCCAUUAUUUUCUCGGAUUUGUGCUUUCUCUUCUACUGGCACUGACCUUUAAACAUCCAUUUUUUAUGUUUUGACCGAAGCCAAAAAGAUCAUUGCUUUUAUACGAAAAGAACUUGUACAACAUGAAUCUCUCUUCUCUUAUUAUGAUAUGUUUAUUUGUGAUCCAGUGUAGUAAUUUACAAGUGUGCUUAUGAGAGAACCUGCACUCACAGGCAUUAAACUGGCUAGGCAGAAAAUCCUGGUUAUGUGAGAAAAGAACUUUCUUCCACUUAAUUUAAAUGCGAUGUUGAAAUAAAACAUUAGCACAAAGAGAUUUAAAAGUAUCAUAUUUUAGAGAUUGAGUUAUUGUUGUAUUGUGGUAAUAAUACACCGUUUUCAUAGGUCAUCAAACUCAUAAUGAAAAGGAUUGAUUAAUUUUGUGAACCUAUACAGAAAAUUAAGGCUAUUUAAAGUAUUCAUGAUACAGACCCCUGAAAUAACAAGUGCCUUAUUAAGAAGAAGUUCUGUUGCUAGGAGACAGUAACCACAGUGUCAGAAUAACAUGUUUUUAUUUCAUAUAAGAAAUGCUUUUUAAUGCACAUAGUUAGAUAAUGAGCAAGGAUAGCUAUGCGAUAUAAAAGACUGGGCGAGUGCUUAAUUUGUGAGAUGGAAAGCCAAUAAAAAGUGCAAGUCUUUAUACCUGAAUAGUGUUGUGUGCUACAAGAGCAGACUGGUGUAGAUCUGUUUGAAGUUUGACUAGGAGCAGGUAGACAGGCUGCUCCAAAGUACUCAGAUGAAGUAAUUCCAAUUCAUAAAUCAAAUAGGAAUAAAUAAAGAUAAUACACAGCUUUAAAGGAUGAGGUGUUUAUACAGCUGUUUAAUCUUGUUGAUACAUAAUCAAGUUAAGCAUCGGAAAGAACGGUGUGAGUCAUAAUGCCAUGUAAUAAACUGUCUAAAAACAAAGUCUGCGAAAACAGAGAGACAAGAAGGAUCAUUAUCACCAGAAGGAAUAGGAUACUGCAUUAUAGGAGAUACAUAGAAAGCUUUGGGAUGACCACAGCUAAAGAAAUACCAAAGUAGCUGAAUCUUUGUAGAAACAAUGUCCUGACUAAUAUCCACCACUUGCCUUAACUAGGGAAAUUCUGAAAAAAAAAAAAACUAUAAAAAAAAUCUAUACAUAUGGAUUGAAAGAAUUUGACCAGAAAUCAUGAUCCACCUCACUAAUGUGUAGUCGUAAAAGUGUGGCAAAUGGGCAAGCUUGUUGAAUUCUGCCAAGGCAGCACCCUAAAGCUCACCCCACUCUUUGAUUGUGUGCGUAUUCUCCAUGGUGGUCCAACCUACCCCGUUCUGCUAGUUUCUGGGACUCUAAAAGCAAUGCUGACAGCUCUCAGCUGGAUGCUAGGCAGAUAUGGACUUGUGCCUUUAAUUCUCAUUCAGGCUGUAAGUACACAGGCAUUGGUGUAUGAGUUGUUCAUACAGGAGGAGAUAAUUUAUAACAGAAACAUCUUGUCGCUCUCCCAAACCUGUGUUCUAUAUCUUUCCAAUUAAAGCAGCCUGGAAGCUGGAUGGGCAGAAAAAUGGCUAGGCAGCAACCCCCAGGCUGUUGGUUCAGGCACACUGAACUGCUCUUUAGUUGUUCUUUCUUAAAUUCUUUCAAACUUUAUACUGAUUAAAACAAAAUAUUUAUUUUAAGAAGUGAAUCUACAUUUUGAGAAGUACGCCCUUGCUAAGUCAUUAAUUUAAUUACUUAACUAAUGCUGAUUUCAUAUUGUAUCAAAGCUUCCCAGGAUGUCUGUGACAAGGUGUGCUUGGCUGCUAUCAGUAGCUGACACAAUGGGGCUCUGCCCUCUUACCAAUAAGAGUGUGUGGGUGGAUAGCCUUAAAAUGAUUUAAAAUAUUUACUUGUGUUCAAAGUUUGUAUGUUGUCCCCACCACCACCAUCUACUUUGUACAUCUUCUUUUUUGCAAAAUGCUGGUAGAUUUUUUCACAGAAAGACAAGUUAAAUAUUUGUAAGUCAGAAUUUUAGUUCUUACAAAUGUGAAAGUGUUCUAAGUUUAAUCAUUCAAGCAACAGAGAAAGAAAUACAGGCUGAUAUUUGCAGCCAAUGAAAAGUAAUAAAAGUGCACAUUUUGUAUGUAAACACUUUUUUUAUUUUUUAUUUUUACUUCCCCAGGAUCAACCUAUAUGGGCUAAAGGCUGAUUUAUAGAAAUUGCUCAGUAAUGAAUACAUUUGUGAUUUAUAUGAAAUCAUAAAAACCGCUGCUGGUUAAUUCACAAAGGGGGGGAAACCAAAAAAAUACAAAGCAUAAUUAAUUUGAAUAAUUUAUUCCUCUAUAAAGUCAGCUGUUCAAGUUGAAACACAUUUCUAUCCCACUCCCAGAGGCUUUAUGCCCAAAUUAAGGAGCAGCCAGAGGGGACAUGCAUUUUGCACAUGAUCAAAACAUCACUUGAAAAUAAACUUGGGACAAAUUCUAGUUUGACUGGAUUCCUAGCUAAGGGCCAUGCUGAGAAUGUCCUGCACGUUCUCUGUUGGUGCUAAUGGCAGAAACUGAGGAAGUCCCCCUUUCAUUGUUCAGCGAAACCUUUGGAAACCUUUCAAUAUGGUUCAGAUGAUGCCUGAGAAUGGAUUACUGCUACAAGAUCAUGUAUUUUAUUAAGAUAUACCUGCCUUUGGUCUAAGCUCAGGUAAUUUCUAGAGCUGUUUAUAGGCUCACUGUUAGCAGAUAGCUGUUAGUGGGUAAGAAAAGUGCCCUUCACGAUUUUACAUGUUUCCACAGAAGCUGUUGUCCAUCCAGAAGCCAAUCACAAAAUCCCCAAUCCUUCAUCAAAUUCUGGUACAUAUAUACUGCAAUACUGUUGCCUUGUCCUGUUAAGAGCAGCAUUGGUCAUAUAAAGUUAGCUCUGUCUUUUCAGUCCAGUUUACAAAGAAUACAUGUUUCCUGAGCAGAGCAGGAAAAAAAAAUAAAAAAAAAGAAAAGAAAAAUCUUCCUAUUUCAAGAAAUCUGAGUCAUCUUUGCUUCCAGUCCUGAGCUCAUGGGCAUUCUUCAUUUCAGAUGCCCCCUUGUAAAUCUCCUUUUUCCUUGCUUCCGUGCUUGAACUGCUGCAACCUGCUCUCCAUUUGCAGGCUGUUUACAUGCUCAUGAUGGUCAUGUAGCAUACCUUCUGCUCAGACCUUGCCUUGCUUGUCUGUACCCAAAGCCAUCAGUUUGUGUUCAUGUUCAUCUCCAGAUUCUCAUGAGAAACUAAGUGGGAAGAUUUUUUCUCUCCAGUGUUUCAACUAUCACUGCAUAGGAGGGAGUGUGGUUACUACCCCUCACUGAUACUCUUGAUGACUGAAUUCAGGAUGGUGAGGUGUGUUUUAGAGAUGUCCAUUAAUAUUGUUAGCAUCGGGACAGCAAUUGCACAGAAGCCUCUAUUCUCUAACAUGUAGGUGGGACUUUCAAUCAGGAUUGAGAUUAUGCUGUACAGAAAGAGCAGCUGUACUUGGCAAAUAAUUUGUCAGGUUUGGGAAAUAAGCCCUCUGAGGACUUGUAAAAACAGCAUGUUUUUAUUUCACGAUUUUUUUAAAUUUUGUAUUUUUUAUCAAAAUGUCUGUCUAUAGUGCAGAGCUGAGAAUUAAUGAAUUAAAAGACCAGAAACAUUAUAUCUAAGUAAAAUAGAUAAGCCACCAAAGGGUAUUUUCAAAAGAAACAACUCACUGACAAAGUCUUGUAGGUGCUGCUGUUUUUUAAAAACAGUUUCUUUAUUAUAAAUUAAUAAUUUGUAUUAUUCUUUGUAAUCAGUGUUACUUCAUUUAGGCAUGUAGUUAUGGAAAGCAAAAAAAAAAAAAAAAAAAAGUGUCCUAAAUAUGUUGCCUUAUGUUUCUCUUUUCUGCUGAGGUCAAGUUCAUUAUUGAAGCUUGGUGACUGUUUUUUCAUAGUGCCACUGCCAGAUGACAUUAAAAUUACAAAUACAGAACUAGAUUAAAAGAACAUGAUUAAGAUUGCAAAGUCAGGAAAAAUCAUAAUUAAGGUUGCCUGUGCAAUUUUAACUCAGUUCCUGUGUGCAUAUCCAUCCUGAUAAGAGUGUUUAAUUACACAGUCAUGGUCAUUUUUUUUUCCAUGGGGCGCUUUCCCAGUCAGUGAGCAGCACCAGUCCUGACGUAAAGUAGCUAUUCAGAACUGAUUUUUCUCCCUAGUUUUAGUUAUUAUAUAUCUCCAGGCCUCUCUCACUGCUGGCUAGCCAAGUCUUGUUAAGGAGAGGGAAUUACUAAUUUCUUUGCGUCUCUUUGGCAGUGUUUAUCACUGUUAUAUUUCAUGGGUCCUUCAAACAAUGAUGAAUGUAUUUUCACAUUGGUGUUAUUACAUUUUUAUAAAGGGGAAUAGAGAUACAUUUUUGUGAUUGAAGUUUUUUGCUAUUUUUUAUCCAAUUCGAGGUAUUUACAACUUGGUAUUUGGGUCAAAUGCGAUGCUACUAAAACUUAGUGACUUCUGUGCAUCUGUUCCAUCACUUAGCUUCUCUUGGAUGUCUGGGGUUAGCAAUGAGGAUGCAGAGUCAAGGUCGCUGCUUUCUGACCUGGACUUGAGAUGUCCCAUACUGGCCCAGAACUGUGAGUACUGGGGAAACCUAAGGCCAAAAUAGAUGCUUGAAAUUCUGAGUCUUGAAUUCUCUCCUGAAAGUGUAGGUAGUGUAGAAGCUUUCAGAAAGUGAUGGUCAGGAGGUGAUGGAUACGAUCUUUCAAACAGGAGAGGAAUGGCUGUAUCUUUUCUGUCCAGUGUGCUAUCAGUUGCUUCUCACCUAGACUGACAUAUAGGCUGCUACUUCUCUUCUUCCUAAGGGUAUGCAAACCUCUUUGAUACCUUAGGGAGGUGCUCUAUCAGAAGAUUAUAUUGGAGACAGAACAUCUUACUGACUCUUCUUAAAACAGUUAUAAUUUUAUGCAUUUUUUUUUCACUUAUUGUUGUCCUGGAUUAGAGGACAAAAGAGAAGAAGUAGUAAGAUUAUUUCAUAUAAAGAUCAGGAUUAUUCCUAUUUCACUGUAUUGUAACUGCUGUAUAACAGAAAUUCCUUUCCUUAACUGUAACAACAUACCUGACUAAUGCUUUUGACUGAACUACCCUGUCUUCCACAGCCCCUCAGAAGAACUCAAAUUCAAGACCAAAUACCCAAGUAUAGGCAAAUAAAAGUAGCCUGAAGCAGAAAUGUAAAUGAAAUGGUUGAUUCUCAUUCUUUUUUAUUUAUUUUGCAAAUUUAAGAAAUUAUAAUUUAAAUUGAUUGUGAGAACUGUAAGAACAGAUAAAAUUAGAAAGAACUUAACCAGAAAGAAAGGAAAAUGGAAAUUAUGUUCAUCUUCUGUCCUGUUGGGAUUGGGUUGGUACCAGCUUGGUAUUCACCAGUUAUAAUUUUUUCUAAAUCUUUCAUUGACCUUACUAACAAAAACCUUUUGAAAUUCAGUGAGGACAACUGUGAAGCCCUGUACCUGGAAAGGAAGAACCCCUUGAAACAGCACAGGCUGUGGACUGCUGGCUGGGGAACAGCUCCGGUGAAAGAGACCUGAAGGUCUUGGUGGGCCACAAGCUGAACAAAUCAGCCACCAGAGCCCUGUGAGCUCUUCUGUAUGGCAUAGGACUGCACGGCAGCGAUCUCCCCUUGAGCAGGGACACCUCUCAAGGUUACUCCUGCAGGUUGAGAGAUCCCUUUCCCAGCAUCUGAUGUUCACAACAAGUGACCAAUGGAAAAUCAUAGUGUCUGACACCAGGAGAGAGAAGAAGCAGGAGAGAUCUGUGAAAAAUGCCUGCAAGAAAUGAAGCACAGUGUGGAUGGAGAUGAUUCACAUCUCUGCAGUGAUUCUUCAGUAAAAGUCAGUGAAAAUCUGCUGGUGGCGUUCAGUGGAGCGAAAUCAAACCUGUUGGCCUUCAUCUUGGAAAGCUGUGUGCACUUGCUUUUGCAAUCUGCUCACAGACUCAAGGACUGGACAGACACAGCUAUUCUGGCUGCAACAGGAUCCAAAAAUUACUAUCCCCGGCCUGCCCUUUGCUGCUCAUUUCUUCUCCUGAUACCAAAGGUUUCUCAUCAAGAAAACACUUCCUUUGAGCUUCUUUCUUUUCUGUUUGGAGCAAGAUGUUGGUAAAAAGCAGCUUUCUGGCAUCUCCAGACUUGCUGGACUCACAGUUGUCUCUGCGGAUGAAUAAGGGGCUUGCUCUUGCUCACCUUCUAAGAAAACUCUGUGCUAUGAAAAUCAGGUUUUAAAUGAACUCACGUUCAUUUGAAUUUCAGCUAGACCAUCCCUGUCACAUGGAGUGACAAAGCCAAGCAAAUUUCCAUAUGAUGUAAAACAAGUGUGGUAAAGGGACAAAAGUGGUUGUGAUGACUAGAGCAUGCUCCCAGAAAAUGAAAGCAUCUAAACAAAAUAUGAGGAAGCAAGAAUGUUUGAGAUCCGUUCAAAAUUGCAUGGUGUGAUUGCUAUAAGCUGAUAGCUUGACUUCUCACCUGCCAACCCUCACUGUUUUUUUUCAUACUGUUGUAUGAAAUCUGGGUAAGAGCUUUUCCUUUGAGUAUCUCUUUAUUAAAACCCUAACACAAUUUAAGGAAAUGGGAAAAAUAAUACAGUAAUAGUAAGACGGUAUAAAUGCUAGUGCUUGUAUCACUCUUCUUUCUUCAGAAGCAGGCAUUUUGUACUUACGUUUAUUUUCUUAUCUGAAAAAGAUAAUAUAAUAAUAGAAAAGUUAAAAAUCAGGGCUUCUUCCUGAGUGGUUGUCACUCAGGAAGCUUCUGGAAAGCAAAUGCAAAUGUCCAUUAAACACAUACACAACAGAGAGGGUGGGCCUAAAUUAUUAAUCUGUUGUGAUCUGUGGGAGGGGGAUAAGCAAAGCAUAGCCAGUGGUUCCUGAUGGUGCUGAGCUUGUCACACUGGCCCUGGUGUGAAGAAAUACCACUUGGAAGGGUUGAAGGCAAGCUUGUGCAUGCAGGUCGAGGACAAUGUAUUUACUGUGAAUGUUUAUAAUUUCUCUGAUAAUAGAUUGUCAUGUUCAGUGCAGAGAACAAAGAGCAACUCUCACCUCUCCUUCCCUUGAAUAUCAAGUCACCUCAUCCUGUGAUGUACAAGGCAAAGUAAUUGCAUCUCAACUGUGUGGUGCGUUUUUGUUUAGAAGCUGUGGUCUGAUAUUCUUCAGUAGCUCCCAUGCCAGCCCUGCAUGUGAUGUAGCACAUCAACAUGAUGCAUAUGAUGAAUAGUGAAGAAGAUACAUCUAAAAGCUGCAAUGUAGUUCAAGAACCAUAAGCCAUUCAUCCUCAUUUUAGAGCACUGAGAAGAACAUGGAAAACCAUGUCAGAUGGAUUUUUCCUAUGCUUUCCAUAUAGGACGUUGAUGCUUAACCUUUCACAGUUGAGCAAGCCAUAUGGACAUAUAGUGGCAGGAGGGGACAACAGGCUCUGCCCCCCUUCUGUUCAUGAAAGUGACCCACCACAUUGGAAUAAAGGACAUUUGUAUCCUCAUGUGCCUCAACAGUAUGAGCUGGUCCGGGGAAGCAGUCAGCUCUGCCCUUCAAACUGCGAUUGCAUGCCACCCUUGUGUGCUGCACAGGUUUUUUGUUCACUGGGUGAUCUUGAACUGGCCUUGCUAAAAGCUUCCUGUGACAUUUCCAAAGGAGAUAAAUCUACCUAAAACCCUGGGAAGCAGGUGAAACAGCUCCUCUGUUUGAAGGGAUGGAAAGUGAUUUUUUCCUGAAUCUCUCAUCAGAAAGCAUGCGCUCCUGUUGAUUGCCAUUUCCUAGGCAGUGAAUGAGCAGCGAUGAACUGCCAGUUGCCAUGUCAGAGCCCCUCGCCACACCAGCCACCAAUUUCUGAGCCCUGAUAACCUUUAUGGGAUGUUCUGUGGAGGAGGAUCGCACUGCUGAUGUGAUGAUUCAGAACCUGUACCUACUGCGUGAUGCAUUUCAUUAGUGUCUAUCCAGCACAGGGGGUCAAUUUCCAUCAUUGGCUUGAAAUGGGGAAGCAGCAGGUCUCUGCUUGCCUUGUCUCCCCCAACUUAUUUUCUUCUACUAGAACUCCAGAAAUUCUGUCCUGGAGCAAAAAAAAACCUACUCAAUGAAAGUUUCAUCUGAACUAGUACACUCCUGUGAAAAGUUAUAAUUUCAAUAUAUUGGCAUUUUUGGCAGAGUUGACUAGUGCUACCCAUGAUUACAUCUAUACCAGUAUAAGUACCGAGUGCAGUAAGUAGCUGAGUAAUCACAUAGUUGUUAGCUAAGGCUUUAUUUUAUUAUAUUUUGAUGUAUUACUUCUUAAUAAAUUGGAACUUAUAUGUGAUGUAUUGCUUAAUAAAACUCAUAUCUGAAAUUCAACACAUUUAUGGGAAACAGGCUAUGGGUAAUCCUCAAGCUAAAGCUACUUAAAUGUACUGGAUCUGCCUUAUUUUGCAAAAGGAAACAGUCACUCUCCCCCAACCUCUGUUGUAUCAGAGGUGAGUUAGAGAAGAAAAAAGCAAUGACUAACUAUGACAACAGUGUUAUGUCAGUAAGUUUUGUGUCUUUUCCAUUAGCAUCCUCUCUCUAUAUAUAUAUAUUAAUGUUCAGUUCCAAAAUUGCAUAGUAUGUUUCUUGGGAGGAUGUUUUUGCUCAUUAAUCAGAAUGUUGACCUGAACAACUGAAAGUGUCCAGUCAUUUGUUUAUAGACAAAUUUACAAAGGAAUUACAAUGCUUAACUGUGAAUGUUAAGUCUCAGCGAGUAUGAUACAUAAAACCCAAGAUAAAGUGUUUAAUAUGACACUAAGAAAAGGCUUUGAUGGAAUCAAAGGGAAGUCUUUUUACCUCAUUUGGGUAGGUGCUUUUGUUGAAAUUAUAAUGGCAGAAUCAAACUAUAUCUUUUGUUCAUUAAUAGUGUUAUUUGCAAUAAACCCUUUAAUCCUGGAAAAUAGCUUUUUGAAUUAUUUUGACAAGGGAUGAUAUGAAAACUAAGCAGAUGCUGCUCUUUCUCUACAUGUUAUACAUAUCCCAGUUCAGAGGAUGCUCAGGCCAAUACUGCAGGAGGCUUUUUGAAAAAUAGAUGCUCAGAGGCUCAAUCUGGCUGCAGUCUUAUGCCAAAAGGGAAUGUAAUAUACUCCAUUUUUGAUUUAACCCUUCUCUUUGUUUUGUUUGUUUGUUUUUUCUCUAUAAAGUGUCAGUCUUACACAAGCCAAUUACAUAGGGAACUCUUGUACCAAUACAAUCUGCUUAAAGACAUACUGCAUAUUACCUUAAAAAGUAUGUGCAAUUGGAGUCAACUUUUUGAAAUAAAAUGCUUUUCCUCUCAUUGCACAUUGAUUUCAGCAUUACUGUGAUUCUGGUGCAAGUAUUAUAUCUGCAAGAGCUGCAUCUUUAUAUAAAAGUGUGUUGUUUUUGUUUUGCUAUGUUUUGUUUUUAGUUCAUGAAAGAGAUGAAGAAAAAAAAGAUCACUAUGAAAAGAAUAAAUGAAUGUUUAAGUAGAAAUUCAUGGAUCCUAAAAGUCCUCCUUAAUGCAGUGACCUUUGUCUAAUAAUUUCAUAUUUGGAUAGUUUGUUUUAUCUUUUAAGUGCAUUGUAACAAAUACACCCAUACUCUGCAGCCAUAAGCAUAGUGUGCACGAAGAGCAAAAACUUGUUUCUCACAGCUUUUCCUAAAGUACCAUUUGUUUUUUUUUUUAUGUCAGAUCAAAAUAAAUAAAUAAAUAAAUAAAUCACCCAGCUCUACUAAUUCCCUCACAGAAGCUGUCAAACGAAAGUCCUGGCUGCCAACUCUGCUAAAAGUUUCCUGGUGCCCCAGUUGCAACGGGUGAUAGUCCUCCACAGGCUUCCAAGUGAAAUGUGAUCAUUUCUUGCCCAUCCUUGUGUUCUCAACACCAUCCAAUUAAUGGUGGCCCCCGACCAGCAAAGAUCUCCAGCAGUGAAUAUUAUUGCUAACCCAACUGAGCACCUGCUGGUAAGGUCUCCCUGUUUCCCUCUGCACUCUAAAUACUCUCAUUGUUUAUUCAUAGAGUCAAAGAUUAAAGCCAGAAAGGACCACUGUGAUCAUCUAACCUCUAAUCAGAAACCUUUCCAAUUUUGUCAGCCUUCUCAUUCACUUGCUGACAUUAGCUGUGGAUGCAGAAUGCAGUUUACAGAGACCCCAUUUAUCUGUUCAUCUACCUCUGUAACAGGUUUUGCAGGACUGGUUUCUGCUCUCCAUCGCAGUUGUGAGCUCUGCCUCGGAUACCUGUCUCAAGUCUAUCUCAGAGGUCCCAGUGUUUAAGACCUGUAGAGAUCCUGGGAUCUGAAAACUUGAUCCCAGCAAGUACUGGUAAAUGGGACUGCCUUGAUCUAGAAGGCAGCUCUGUGGACACAUGCUAUGUUAUGUCACUUGACCUUGGUGCCAGAGAAUGGAUUCUUUACCUGUUUAGGGGUAGACAUGUAAGUGUUUCUGCCUCCUUAGACUGUGUUGUCUCCAAGAAAGAGGCCUGCUGGUCUUGAAUCCCAGGCAGACGUAUAGACACUAACUAGAAUGGUGAGUCAGACUAAGCUCUGAAAAAUGAAAGAUCCAUUAAACUCUUGUGGUCAGACUUUCCUUCUGAAAGUCUUCUGGUCAGAUUUCCUUCUCCCCAUCCAUGUGUGAGUCUUUCUACUUGAUGUUUCUGAUCUGCUUUCAUUUCCCUACUGGCUGAACAGGAAAGCUAGGUGUGUAACUCCAGUUACCUGAAUCAUCUUUCUGGUCAAGGUGUCUUUCUACUUGGAAUUAUUUAAUCUCAGCUUUGCCUCUAGCCUUUGUGUUUCUCUGUCCAGCAUCCGUAAUACAAAGGUAUUACAGAUGUUUUUACCUCAAAUCAUAAGAGCAUUCAAGUCUGUGAUUCAUACAGGACCCUGAAUAAAAAGUUUCAUGAUAAAUAUCACCAUCUGGCAAAAGCUCACACUGCUAUUAUUGACAACGAUUUAUCAGAUACUUAUGUUCUUUCUCCUUCCAUUUCUUCCUUUCCUUAGUUUUAUUCUCAAUGUUUUAUUCUCAAUUGCCAGCACUUCUGGUUUUGUCUUGUGCUUUUACACCAGUUCCAGAUGUUUCUCUAGUUUUAUUUUCUCUCUUUUUCAUGAAUGAGAGCUAACUAUUGCUACUAUGAUAAAGCUGUAAGAUUCCCCAGUCUUCCUUCCAUCUAGCAAAGUGCUGCCUCUCCUUUGAGACCACUCAUAGCAUGUGAACCACAGCAUGACAACUUUGACAUUGGUAACUGUGAUUAAGUUGAGUUAAAUGCUUUGUCCAUGAAAUUAGUCUUUUCUUCCUUCUGUUUACGGAAUAUGCUUAAGGAUAUUGUUGCUUCUUUGAUAAUUAACAGAGAUUUUUCAGACGAGUCACUCAAUAUUUUUGCGGUUUUGAUGAAUUACACUCAUGAAGAAUCCUAGUGUGAAGGAAAAUAUCUUUUUCUGUGUACUUACACAUGUAUAUUUCAGUGUUUUUUGUUUUUUUUUUUUUUUUUUUUUUUUUUUUUUUUCCAAGUAUAUUUAAACCAGUAAAAUUAAAAAAUAGGUGGUUCCUGAAAGUGAAUGUGGAUAGAACACAGGGUUAGAAAAAAUAAUUUUUUUUUUUAAACAAAGUAAACUGUACUGUUAAUCCAUCCUUGGGGGAGUUUAAACUUUUUAUUCUGUCUUUAGAAUUUAAAUAUUGUCUUUGGCAGAAGAUUUUAAGCCUCAAUCAAAUGAGCUGGCAUUGACUGAUUAUGAUGUGAAUGGUGUGUGAUAUUUACAUUUAGAAACUUAUGUAGGCCAGAAAGCACUCUACGGAUUUAGGAAUGCUGAUACACCAAAAGGGUGUUUUGAACAUAAAUAUAGUGACAUUAGUAAAGCUGUAUUUGAUUCUGAAGUGGCAAAGCAGUCUUCCUUUAGCAAAAUAUACCAAUAGUCUAGUUUCACUUCUCUAUUUAAGGCUAGAGGUCCAGGUGGUACAGCUUCAGGGAUGUAACUCUGAUUGACACAGCAAUGCCAUAGAAGUCUGGCCUUAGGAAGUGACACUGAUUCUCCGAAUCUCCUGGCAGAAGUUUGCCUAGUGAUUAGCAUACAUAACUGAAAGUCAGGUUACCUAGGGCCUUUUUUUCUAGCUAGGUCAUUGGCUUGCUGGGUGACCUUUUGAGAGACUUCUCAUGUUGUUUUGCCUCUUUACUGUACAAUAGAAAAAAAAUAUCUCAGUAGGAAUGUGAAACUUAAUUAAUUAGUAUUUGUAAUGCAUUUAGUGAUUUGUAGAAUAAAAGCAUUCUAGUAAUGAAUAAUUCCUAUCCUUGCCUUAUAUUGAAAUAGUAUUAUUCUUGCCUUUAUAAUUAAAGUGGAGAUAAAACAAAAUACUACGCAGGUGACAGUGGAAAAUAGUUUGAUUCUUACCCAACAACAUAUAUGCAGCGUGUGCAAGUCCACGGAAGCAAUGAGAAACCUUAAGAAGAGAACUGAAAGACGAGGAUACUACUUUUCUUCCUCUCAUGAUUUUCUAUUUUAAAAUUGUAACAUAUAGGGAUUCUACUUGAAUAUCCUACCAUAUCUUAUAAAAAAAAUAUGUUUUAAAGCUAAUUGAAGCAUAUUAACAGUCUAUGAAAGUAUCAAAUAUGAGGAUUCCCUGUAUCAACUGCUCUCUUAGAAUAUUCAAGCAGAAUUUUUAUUUCAGCAGCUAUAUGAUAAAAAUACAUUUUCUCUUUUCCACUGUGUUCCAUUGUAUAGAUAUUUUAUUUGGUGCCUUUGUAGUUUCACUGAUAGUAUAUAGUUAUGUCUAUUAUGCUUUCAAAUAUUGCUAAAAACAUUGUUUGACUGGGAAGCAGGUGAACAUUCUAAUGACAUCCUAUUUGGAAGCUCAAACAUCUUUAAAUCCUUUCUCACACUCAAACAUUUUUUGCUUUUUGUGUUGAGGCAUUUGAGGUUUAACCCAAGUUUGUUAAUGUCCUGCCACCCUAGAGUCAGAGGCUGAAUCCAUCUGAGUCUAGGGUUGCUUCUCUCCUUCAGCAAGUCCUAAAGAAUGACUUACGUGCAAAAAUGUUUUUCCCUGCCGUCAUUUAUUCUAGUUAGAAUGCCAUUUAUUUUCUCUCUACAGACCUCAUCUGGUUUGGUAUGUAGUGGAGCUUUUCAUCAUCAAGAGAUAGCAAAUAAAGUAAGAAAGAUAUCUGCCAUGGAAAGUAUUUGCAGAAUUAAACUCUUAAGUUAAGAGUAUCAUGUACCUUUGAUUAGUUGUAAAGAGAAAGUAGCAAAGGCAUAAAUAAAGAGAUUUACUUCAUACAUCUCGUUUCUGUUUCCUGUAAUGAUAAAUAGAAAAAUUAAUAUAUCAGCACUUAAAUACUUCUACAAGUCAGAACAAAACACUCGUUCAGACGUUUAGAUGUAGAGCUUAGGGAUAUGGUUUAGUGGGGACUGUUAGUAUUAGGUCAGAGGUUGGACUCGAUGAUCUUGAGGUCCCUUCCAACCUAGAAAUUCUGUGUGAUUCUAUGUGUGAUUCUUACAUACUCAUGAAUAUACCAGUGAGCAAUGUACUGCAGCACAACUGUGCAGAACUUCAGAGGGAGAAAGUAGGAUCUUGGAAAAAUGUUAGAAAAUUCUUUUUACAUGAGCUGGAAAUCCACAAGCUUUAUUCAAAAUUUGUGUGGUAAAAUAUGCAGGUACAUGUUCAUCUAUUUGGCAAAACCCUCUGACUGCCAAGUUGCAUCAGUAUUUAAUUUGAAACUGUCAUUAUAACACUAGUAAAAGAAGUUUGUAAAGCCAAAGAAGAGACUUGAGUAAAUAGACUGCCUUUCUGUCUGUGCUUUUCUAGUCUGAGUUUCCUGUGGUGCAUUUAUAUUCAUGUCUAUCACAUUGUUAAUGAGUUUUCUUCUGUAAAUUGACCCUGACUGCUACUCAAAAAUAUAUCUUAAAUGAAGUGUGGCUUUGAGACCAGGCAGAUUAUUAAAAUAUUAAAGUAUAUACAUUGAAUCACAUAAAGAUCUUUCUUGUUGAUAUUUCAAGACUAAAUUAUUUUUUUGAAAGAUGACCUUUAAUGAACAGACUUAUGGUCCAAGUUGUCCUCAUACAAAGCUCCCUCUGGAUCUUUUAGUCAUUUACACGUCUGCAAAAUGGAUUUAAAAUAACACCACUUAACCUAGUAGCAUUUGACAGUCACUUUACUUAAAUAUGGAUGAGUGUUUAAGGUGCAAAACAGAAGAAAACUGUGUCCAUUGUCUUCUCUGUGAAAUAUGAACCCUAGAUGGUAGCAAAAAUUAGUUUAUUCUGGCUAUGACCAGCAAGCUCAAUUCUUAGUGGGAAAAAUUCAUAAAAGCAAAACAGGCUUUUUAUAAAAUUAGAAUAAAAUAUAUGUCUGGCUUAGUGGUUGCAUGCUCAGGGAAACACACACAAGUAUCACUGGAGAUUCUUGCAAAAACAUUCAUAUGCCUGACUCUAAUUGGUUAAAAUGCCAUUAUUAGGAUUUUAUCCUAAGUUCUUAUGUUUUUGAGUAUUGAUCAUCUCUCCAGUGCAAAACCUGUAAAUUAAUACACAAAUCUAUGUGUACAUAAACUCAGUGUCACUUGUAUGUAUUUCUGUUGGUAAAAUAAAAUUCUUAAUUAUUUUUGGAUACAUACAUGCACACAUACAUACAUGCACGCUAUUUUUUACCCUCCAAGUUUCAGUAAACUAUUCAGCUACUAAGUACCAUAGAAGUUGCUUGAGAUAUUGUGACCAGAUGGUUCACAGGGCUAGUAAUGGAUUAUAGUGCUUUCUAGCUCCAGAUUGCCAGUUCAAAUCUGGGUCAGGUUGACACUGUCUGAAAAUUAUUACUGUUUGGUGGCUUAUGUGAAAUGAGUUGGAGACCUCAAUAUAGUUCCUAAAGGCUGGGUUAAUAUAACACAAAUGUCACCAGAUGAUUGUCGGUUUCAGGGCUCAGGCGGAAGCACACUGAAGUCAGUGGAAAAACUUCCAUUGAUUUCAGUGGGUAUUGAAUUAGGUCUUAAUUAUGGAGAAUGAAUCCUUUGUGGUCUUGGAAGUGCUUAUUUACAGGAGGUGAAGGACGCCCAUGAACUGCUCCUGGGAGAUGUGUACUGCUGCCAGCUAGGAUAAAAUAGACAGAGAUGUUUAGCUCUCCUUGUACUUCAUUGAGUAUGAGUAUAUCAGAAUGGACCAAUUCUUGAAUAAAACACAGAAAUAUUCCUGAAUUUAGGUAGGAACUGAUUUAUACUGGCAGAGUGGUUGAGUGCCAAAAUCUCUAAUUGUUUGCAAUAACAUUCUCUCUUUCUGGUCAGCAGGUCAGAUAAAUGGCUCCUAAAUUUAUCACAAAUCGUGUGCUCUCACAGAAUAUUCAUCCUUCUGUUUGAACAGCAGGCCUACUUUGAACUCCAUAGAUGAGGAUGGGGCUUCUGUCUGAGCUUGGUUCCUAGUCCUGCUAAAGACGCAUUUGUGUACAACUGGGAUCACAUAUUCUCUGUACUCCAUAAGUUAAAUUAAUUCAAAUUUCAAAUCUGUUACAAAACUGUAAGAAUGUCUUUAAAAAAAAACAGCUCUUGGCUGCAUACCUGAGAACUCAAUAAAACUUUUUUUUUUUAAUCCCUUUUGUUUUUAUCAUAAAAAAACAAUUAUGGCUUUAUAUUAAGUGAUGGUGACUUGAGGAUUUUACUUUCUAUGUACAUACUCUAAACAAAGGUGCAAAUUUGCUGUUGAAUUGCAGUAUUUUAGAAUCUCUAAUUUGUUUAUUUGUAUACCAUUUAGCAGAGAGGAAAAUAACUAUACUGACCAUUUUUGUUGUUGUUGUUGAUAACCAGUAAUCACUGAUACUUUAAAAAUGCUCUUCUCUAGUUGAAAAAAUAAUAAACCAGAUUUUGGCACUUGGGCAUGAAUAGAGACAGAAAGAGACAUACAUAUUUUCAAAGUAGAAAAACUCAGUAUGGAAGUUUGAAUUAUUUUUUUGAUCAAGAGCUAGAUAGCCUAUAAAGAGAGGUUGUAGUUUCACAAGGCAAUUCGUAAGCUUCAGGAGAAGACGUGAAUGCUCACCAGAAAUCUGAAGACCAGCCCAAGAGCUUCACAUAUGAAUGGAAAAAAAAACAGAAGGAAACGAAUGAAAGUUUAUGAUUUUGUCCAGGCCUUCACUCUUGUAUACAAAAGUUAGGAGUGUUUAAAAGUCAGAAUUUGUUUAUUUUUAUUAUGUCUUAUGUGCAUAAAGAGCUAAAGUCACCAAACAGAAAAGGCAGCUCUUCAUUGGGAUGCUGUCAGUCAGGUGAAGUUGUGUGAGAGACUGUUCCAAUUUCAGCACCAACAUUUGCAUAAAGGAUGAUGUUUCUAUUACCAGAAGAAAUAUCAACCAACAGGUCAUCAGCACCUGAGCUGUGACAUAAAAUUAGAUAUGGUUUAAAACCUUUUUGCCUUUUUGAAUUUAUUUGUAUUCAUUUAACAAUUCAUUAAUGUCGA